GUAGUUCGCGCCGUCCCCGGGCCGCUCCGCGGGCGGGGAGGUGUCGUCCGUCCCUCAUGUCUCUCCCGGGACACGGCCCCGCUCUGAGGGGACUUUCGGGAUCCCUCCAGGUUCUGCUUGUCCCGCUGGGGCUGACGGGGGGUGCGUUUCCCCCCUCCAUGAGCGAGGCUGCGCCAAUGGCGCCUCACACAGCCCAACUGUGAAGGCUACUAUAUAGACCGCAACAGUUUCUGCCUGUUUUGUGAGGAAAAUCCCCCCUGUAGAUCCCGCGGCCUGUCUGGAUGGCCAGAAUCACAGAGAUAUGUGCUGGGAAGAUGUCUGAAAAGAGAAAAGCUAUUAUUUAGUGUAUAAUACAAGAAAAAGUGUUGCAUUCUGGAUGCCAGUGGUGUCAGCCACAUCUUUGAACUUCUCCAGCCUAAACAUGAGAACACUGGGACGUAUGCACAGAUUUCAGGAGGGGGAAGAAGAACAUUCUUAAGGAACAAGUGGGCAGAAAUACAUCACAGUAUCACAGUAUGUUUGGGAUUGGAAGGGACCUCAAAAGAUCAUCCAGUCCAAUCCCCCUGCUGGAGCAGGAACGCCCAGGUGAGGUCACACAGGAACAUGUCCAGGCGGGUUUUGAAUGUCUCCAGAGAAGGAGACUCCAUCUCAAGAUUGCUUUGGGUCAUUUUGAUGUGUCCAGGAGGUCCAGUCGCUGUCGAAAGAGCAGGACUGAGGUAUCCCAGAAUUUAUGGCUCCCCUGUAAUAGGUGGAAAUGAAAGGCUGUGCUGCAGGCCAGAGUUAUCUGUAUGUCUGAAGUGUUUCCCUGUGGACUGCCAGGCAUAUUUGAGAGCUCUUUCAAGGACGUUGCUAGAAGAAAAAAGUAUUAGAAAUUAAUGUUAGAAAAGGCUACAACCAAUUUGCAGUCUAAAAACCAUUCGUUAGCGGCUGGCAAAUAACCUCAUGUCUAGUUCACACCUCUCACAACAAAUUUGCAAAUAGAAAAAGAAGUUGUUUUGCAGAUAACUUCAAACAAUUUGUGUGCUCCCACUAAUAAUAUUAUAAUAUUUUAAGAGUCGUGUCUGUCAAUGUGGUGCACAGAUUGGGCUGCUGUGUGGCACAGAAAAACACAACCUAGUUUAAACUAACUAGUGCAGGCAGCAGCAGCAAUCAAAAGAUCAAAACAGGGCUCAGCACAGCAUAAUUUGUUCCUGCUUGGUAGCGUUAAUCAGUCUGCAGGAAUUCUGUGCCAGGCGUUUCUGAUACGUGUGUUACCUCAAAUACCUGCGUCCCGCUUCAGUCAGAGCAAAACUCUCCAAAUACACAGAUAGCGAAGUGACCUGCCCAAGGUCAUUCAGUGCCAAAGCAGCAGGACAUUGGUCUUCUGUAUCAGUUCUCUGCAGUGGUUACCAGAGAAUACAUUUCUAUCAAGAGAAAAAAGAUAAUGCGAGAGCGGAAUGACAAAUAAAAAUGUAGCAAUCAAUGCAAA